AUAUAUAUAUAUAUAUAUGUAUAUAUAUAUAUAUUUGUGUGUGUGUGUGUGACUCUUUGUUUCUUUAUACUCCACCUUCAGCUCAAUAAGGAGAUUUGCAAAUUUCUGGAAAUCAAAAGAAGCUAUGCCUCCGCAUACCACCCACAAACCAAUGGAUUAGUCGAAAAACUAAAUGGUACAAUUCAUAGAUCUUUAAGAAAAAUUGUUGAUGAUAAGCCUGAUACUUGGGACAAGUAUUUAGAUGCAGUAAUGUUCGGCUUGAACACAAAAAAGCAGAUUACUACAAAAUAUACACCAUACUUUUUGUUAUUUGGCAGGGAGGCACGCUAUCCAUCAGAAGUCCAAGAAGAUUUUCAGGUGACACACGACCUAGUGGAAAAUGCUGCAUCAAGGGAAGAAAUUUUUGAAGGUUUCAAAUUAAGAGAAAAAAAUUGCAGAUAUAGUAUCAAAAACAUUGACAAAGCCCAUGAAACAAGAAGAGAUAAAAAUGAAGAUUGUAGAAAAAAUAUUACUUUCAACAUUGGGGACAGUGUUUUAAAAAAAAAAAAAUUAAAUCCCUACAGAGGAAAGGUGGAAAGCUAAAUUCCACUUAUUUGGGACCUUUUAAAGUUGUAGAUGUGGAUGGAAAAGUAGCCCACAUUGUAGAUGAAAAUGGUAAAAAUGAAAUGGUAAAUAUUGACCUGUUAAAUUUUUUUACAAAAUUGAGAACAACAGUACCACAUAAUUUAAAGAAAAAUGCUGAAUUAUUAGAAUCUGUGUCUAAUACUCUAUCAGAGUAUUCAUCAUCAACACAAUCAGAUUCCAUAAUGAGAGAUACAGCAAUAGCAGAAUCCAUGUCUAUUACUGUAUCAGAGUAUUCAUCAUCAAGUCUAUUGUAUUCCUUCUUGGAAAAAAAUAUCUGAUUCGUCCACUCAAAAAGAGAGUGCAGAUAAAUCAUUGGAACAGAUUGAGUAUCCGAAAAUUGAAGAAACAUCCUGCAGUCCACAUGCUGAAAUUAUAUCAGAUAUCUGGAAUGACAUUACAGGACAUCUGCUUAUAUCAAAAAUUGGACCAUAUUUGUUGUUCGAUAUUGAUUUCCUCUCUUUAAAACCAGGAAGAGAUAUAGAAAGCCAAGUCAAUAUUUCAAAUUACGAUAUGCUGAUUGGGGCUGUGCUUGAUUCUCAUCACUGGACAUUAAUGGUGAUUUAUCCCUUACAAAAAAAAGCAGUUUACCUAAAUUCAAUAGGGGAAAAAGAACACCAAAUGAAAAACUGUGAAAAUGUUACUAGAAUGUUUCUAAGGAGAAAAGAAAUUAAUGUUUCUAAAAUACAGUGCACAACACUCAGUCAUCCGAAUCAGCAAGAUGGAGUAUCUUGCGGAGUAUUUGUGUGCAAGGUUGCAUGUGAUAUGUGCAAUUAUUGGUUCCAUUGUUUAUGCAUCGAAGAAACACAAAGGCCAAACAACAAAGAUUCUGAAUUUAUUUGCUACCGCUGUAAAAAUAUAAAAUAGAAGUGAUGUUAUGCAUUAGUUAUUUAAAAGCUUAAAAACCAGCAACGUACCUUUUAUGUAAUUAAAACAUUGUUAAAACCGAACACGUAUCCUUAAGUGGUUAAUAAAUAUACUCUAAUAGUUGUUUUUAUUAUAUAUUGCAUAAUCGAAUAAAAAAAAUAUAUUGCUAAAGUGUUACAGUUUAUAAUUACUAUCCUUUUUUAUUUCAUAAUAAAUAAUACACUUUCCAAAAACCGAAUGAAAAUUACAUUAUACAAAAAACAAUCAGCGUAUACUGCAAUAAACAGAUAACAAACAUGGCAUAUUUUCGAUUGUUUUGAAUAAGUAACUGAUAUUAUAAAAGUUUGAAAAUCCUUUGCGCCACUCAUUUAUGUGUGGAUAUAUACAAGGCGUGAGCCUCUUCAUAGGACAGACAUGUUAUCAGCCUUGUACAACGCUCUUUAUGGCAAACACUUUAUUGCCAACCUUGCGACUUUAUAUCUUUUACACUUUAUGAAUAAGUAAUUGGUAUUUAAAAAAUGGUUAAAAUCCUUUGUAACACUCAUUUAUGUGUGUCUAUAUACAAGGCGUGAACACAUCAUAGGAUAGACACGUUAUCAGCCUGGCCCAAUGCUCUUUAUGGAAAAACAAUUGAUGACAACCUUGAAACUUCAUAUUUUUUACAAUUUUUAUUAAUAAGUAAUUGGUAUUUUAAAAGGAUUAACAUUCUUUGGUUCACAAAUUUAUGUGUAGAUAUAUACAGGGCUUGAACCCCAUUUAUAAAAUACACAUUUUCUGCCUGACCGAAUGCUUUUUAAGGAAAACAAUAUGGUGCCAUCCUUGCCAGAUCAUACUUUACCUUUUCUGAAUAAGUAACUGUUAUUUUAAAAAAAUUUAAAUCCUUUGGGCCAAUACAUUUUGUGUGGAUAUAUACAAGGACUUGAAGACCUUCAUAGGAUAAUCAUGUUUUUUUAGCAUGGCCCAAUGCUUUUUGGAGCAAACAAAAUUGUGCCAAAUUUGCCAUCUCAUAUAUUUUACCUUUUUUGAAUAAACAACUGGUAAUUUGAAAGGGUUAAAAUACUGUGGGCCAUUCAUUUAUGUGUGGAUAUAUACAAGGCAUGAACACAUCAUAGGACAGACAUCUUGUCAGCCUGGCCCAACGCUCUUUAUGGCAAAUUGACAAUGGUAACAACAUUGCCACUUCUUAUAUUUUACCUUUUCAGAAUAGGUGCUAUUUUAAAAGGGUAAAAAUCCUCUGAGACACUCAUUUCUAUGUGGAUAAAUACAGGGCGUGAGCCCCUUUAUGUCACAGACAUGUUCUCAGCCUAGCCCAAUUAUUUUUAUGACAAUCAAACUGAUGACAACCUUGUCAAAUCACAUAUUUAACCUUUUCUAAAUAAGUUACUGAUAUUUUGAAAUGGUUGCUUUGCCAUAGAAAUAUUUUGAACAGUACAGUGUGAAAAUACGUAGAUUGUAUAAAGGGGCUCACGCCCUAUAUAACCACACUAAAAACAGUGGGCCAAAGGAUUUCAACCAUUUUAAAAUAUUUACUUAAUUAGAAACAGUAAAAUAUAUAAAGUGGCAAGGUUGGCAUCAGUUUAUUUGCCAUAAAUAUCGUUGGUCCAGGCUGAGAAUCAUGAACAUUAUUGUUAUUAACCUUUAUUGGAUGAAUAUUACAACCUAUUUGUUUGUGUACUUGAGUAUUUCAAAAAAGUUUUUUCAACAAAGGAUAUCCACAGAACAAAAGUAGUAAAGAACCAUGCACAUUAUUGUUAAUAAUCUUUAUUGGAUGAUUUUACAAAAUGUUUCUUUAAACAAUAAAAAACAUUGCAGCAGAA